AAAUAUAAUUGGCAUAAAACAAAAUGCAUUCACGAAUGUAUUGUCUAUCCAUGAAAGAUGGCUAAAAAUGAAUGAAGUUGAAGAAAGUUGAAAGGCACCCCAGAAGAACCUGAAUUAUUUUAGCCCUAUCCUAGAUUCAUUGAAUAUUUUAGUGUGUGAUAACAUGUGUGAAAUGUGAUCAAUUAUGUGACAAUUUUCUAAACUUGGAUUUAUAAAGAGAAAAUUUUCUUUGUAAUGUUUAAGAAGUAAACUUUUUUGUCUGGUG